rnacentral:SRP_RNA from 1 species
CCGCGCAGGAUGGGGCGUUGGCGGUGCCUUCUUCCUCCGAAAGGGGGAUGCCAGAAACCCGCCUUAUGCUGGGUCUGCGACUUCCCUGAGAACGUGUUGACUUGAUUAGCGCGCUGGCAAGUGGUGUUGAAAGCGGCGUCCGGUGCAACAUAAGACAAGUGAACCCCGCCAGAUCCGGAAGGAAGCAACGGUAACUAUGUUCUUACGUGUGCCGCCGGGCUGCGUCGCUGGAGCUAACGACCAGUAGCGGGGCCUCGUUCAACCGCCCGAAGGGAAGUUGCGCGG